ensembl:rRNA 5S_rRNA 5S ribosomal RNA
GACUAUGGCCAUACUACCCUGAACACGCUGGAUCUCAUCUGAUCUCGGAAGCUAAGCAGGGUCUGGCCUGGUUAGUACUUGGAUGGGAGACCGCCUGGGAAUACUGGGUGCUGUAGGCU